rnacentral:lncRNA from 1 species
ACGUCCAUGUUUGCUGGUCUUGAAAAGCUGCUAAGAAGUUCACUUUACCUGGAGACAUUAACAAUCAACUACCAUUUUCUUGAAUGUUACUAGGUUUGUUUUAGUGCAAUACUUUAUCUUCCUCACAACACGCCUCUGUUCUGAAAUGUAUAGACAUGCAUAUAUUGUUUAUUUGGCUGCUGAGUUUUAUAUAUUCUCCUAUUUGUCAUUUGAUUUUUCUCAAGCAUCUUUAUCAUCUGUACAUUUACAAGAUUGUAGUAGGAAAAAGAAUUCCACUGAUAGUAUUAGUAACAAGAAUUCCUCAGCGGACACAAUGCAAAAUAUUGAAUAAUAUUCAUAACAAUCAUUGAUUCUCUCUCAUAAACUUAUAUUAUUUAGCUCAAGGAAUCGCUCAAGCUUUAUAUGGCUGAUGGUUUCACAGGAGAGGGAUACUGGAAAGAAAAUAGACUGAAGAUGCAAAAUUUAAGAAGAGUUAAAAUGAGAGAGUUUGAUGCAACUUUCAAAUUGGUGUGUGAAUUGAUUGAAUUUUUGCUUAUAAAUGCCCCGAUGCUUGAGGAGAUGGUAGUGGGGAGUCCUGGUGGGACAGUUCUUGAAGUAACUAAACUCUGACUAUCCUUGUCUUCCCAUCUCCAAGAUGUUAUAGGAUUUUAUAUGUUUUACUCUUUGUGAUGCACUUUACUGGAUUCCUUUGUAAGGAUAAAAUUACGAACAUCACCAAAACAUCUUAUGUGCAAAAAUACUUUUCUUCUGCAUAAAUUGAAUUUUGUUGGCCAUAGUUUUGCUUUAUUGUUUGAAUUUUUGUCCCAUAUUUGUUUAUUUUGUCUUUAAAACGUAAAUAUAAAUGCUACCCGCAGAAUUUUAAUAACUUGAGUUUCUAAUUUCCGACGGCACUUUUUGGUAUAUAAUUUGAACUUCAUUUUAACCAGAAAAAAAAAAGUUGAGCAUAAUACUUAUAGUUCAACCUGAUUAGAUUGAGUUUUAAUUUGUUCUUUUUUGCCUGAUAUAUAUUGGUUUUCUGCAGAUUUUUGGAUUUGUCUCUCUUGUUGGUUUGUAAUUUUUCAUUUUGAGUGGUUCUUUUUUUCAAAAUUUUUAAACAGAGGUUUUUGCUGUGAAUGUUCAGAUUAAUGCAUACGAUAAUUCAAUCCAUG